rnacentral:rRNA from 1 species
UCCAGACUCCUACGGGAGGCAGCAGUGAGGAAUAUUGGUCAAUGGCCGUAAGGCUGAACCAGCCAAGUAGCGUGAGGGAAGACUGCCCUAUGGAUUGUAAACCUCUUUUAUGCGGGGAUAAAGGUGUCCACGUGUGGAUGUUUGCAGGUACCGCAUGAAUAAGGACCGGCUAAUUCCGUGCCAGCAGCCGCGGUAAUACGGAGGAUGCGAGCGUUAUCCGGAUUUAUUGGGUUUAAAGGGUGCGCAGGCGGGAGAUCAAGUCAGCGGUAAAAUGUCGGGGCUCAACCCCGGCCGGCCGUUGAAACUGGUUUUCUAGAGUUGGAGAGAAGUAUGCGGAAUUCGUGGUGUAGCGGUGAAAUGCAUAGAUAUCACGAAGAACUCCGAUUGCGAAGGCAGCAUACCGGCUCCAUACUGACGCUGAGGCACGAAAGCGUGGGUAUCGAACAGGAUUAGAUACCCGCGUA